rnacentral:tRNA from 1 species
GGGCGUUUAGCUCAGUUGGUAGAGCAGCUCCCUUUUAAGGAGAAGGUCAAAGGUUCGAAUCCUUUAACGCCCACCA